ACCGGGGGACGACCUCCAUUGUCAUUCACUUGAACGGGACGACCCGU
rnacentral:ncRNA from 1 species